GCCACUGUUCCCCUCCCCUCUCCCUUUCCCCGAUUAGGGUGAUCGGUGACCCCAAUCUGGGGAGGUGGAGGGGGUGGUCUGAAUCGAGGGUCCACCCGUCGAAAUUGAGAGAAUCUUCGAAUUGAGGAUUGUCCCCAUUCCAGCGGAUGGGGCCUCGAUUCCGGCCACAAACCCCAUUGUCUACUUGAGUGCUGUUGGCUACUCAGCCCACUGCGAUUCUGCCUCUUUGAUGAUGCGGCCUAAGGAUUUAAUGCAAGCCAACAUCCGCACUUAUUAUCCCUUCUGUUCGGUCUCUAUCAUGCUUCAAAUCGGUGGGGAUGGACUGCUCCUCCUUAAGAUAAGUGCCUGCAUUGCUGAUCGGCCCACCUCAAGUUCUGCCUACGCACCGCUCCAUUUUCUCCAACUGUAAUCAACGUACGCUUCUUUCACGUGUCGUUACGCAUCGUGGACUGCGGAUUUUAAACCGCUUGCACUAUAGAUGUUUUCUUCCUUUAUGAUGUGGGCCAUCUGAAGCAUUGAUCAGUCAGGUCCUUUUCUCCCUUGGUGCCAUGCCUCCCGAGUGCUUAAUAAAAUGUCUACCCCACUCUUCCAUAAUAACAUAUUUACUUGAUAUAUUUGGAUUGGGCCAUCAAUCUGAAUUGUAAGGACGUUCUGUUUCCUCGCAUUCCGAGACUCUGGUGCCAAGAUGAUUGAUUUCUUGCACGUUUUUAGCGAAACGAGAAGAUUGGCACGCGGAGAAGAAUAACAGUUUACUAAUUGACGAGGAAGAGUGUUCGAGAAAAACUGUCUUCAGAGACCGAUAUGAGACUGGUUUGAAGGACUGUAAGUAUUCUUCACAGUGGAAGGAAGAGAAACCAGGGGCAGUUUUCACCUAAGGGGAAAAGGCAAGCAAUGAUCUUUCAGAAUAUUAAGACUAAGGAGAGAGCUCUGAUCCAACAAGUGGAGGAAUUGGUGUUUCUUCACCUAAUUUCAUUUCAGCGCUAUCCUUAUAAGAAAAUAAUAUAAUGUCAAAAGAUUAGGGCAGAAUAUAAUAUAAUUUUCCUAUAAUGUCAAAAGAUUAGGGGAGUGACAGCUUCCUCAAUCCAUCGUGCAAUCCAAGCUAGUAAGGUAUUAUAUUUAUUUAUUUUAGUUAUCACUGUUCAGUGUUCACUAUCUUAUUUAGUUAAUUUAAAGGUGAAUUCUACAUAUGCCCCUCGAAAGGGCGGGCGUUACU